AUAGCUUCUUGGCCUUUUGGCUAAGAUCAAGUGUAGUAUCUGUUCUUAUCAGUUUGUCAUCAGAGUUCCACCAGUCCACAAUCAGAGAACAGAAAACCACUUGAUUGUGGCCCUGGGCCAGCAGCUUGAAGCCCAAACUCCUU
rnacentral:snRNA from 1 species